rnacentral:misc_RNA from 1 species
UCCUCAGUUCUUUGUUUCCUUUCAUGAUUAACAAAAGCAAGGGUUGCAUCAAAAUCUUGCUGAAGAAAUCUCUGCUGAGUGCCAUGAUUUUGGACGUGUUGAUAACGAUCACAUGCGUCAGAGAGAGAACCAUAAUGAUGCUGUCGUUGCUGAUUAAGUUGAUGGUGGAGUUCUGCAACUUUUUGUUUCAACCUGGCCACAUCUGCUUCAGCGAGAGCAAUCUCCUCAAGCUCAGCUCUCGUUUUGGAAUCCAUGCCCCGUGAGCUGGAGAACUGUCCGGAUGACAUGCUCAAGCCAACUUCCAGUGCAGCUCUAAGAUCUCUUUCAGCUUGAAGCUGCUCUUGCAACCUUGACACAUCUUG